rnacentral:rRNA from 1 species
UGAGCAAUCUGCCCUUCUCAUCGGAAUAAGCGUUGGAAACGACGUCUAAUACCGGAUACGAGCUGUGAAGGCAUCUUCAACAGCUGGAAAGAACUUCGGUCAAGGAUGAGCUCGCGGCCUAUCAGCUAGUUGGUGAGGUAAUGGCUCGCCAAGGCGUCGACGGGUAGCCGGCCUGAGAGGGUGACCGGCCACACUGGGACUGAGACACGGCCCAGACCUCUACGGGAG